rnacentral:lncRNA from 10 species
AAAGUUUGAAAAUUCCCAUUUUUUAACACUCCAUGUUAUAACCUAUUCAAACAUAUAAUCAGUGAAUUGUAAAAUCAUUACAUGAAAUAUUUUAGAGAACAAGAUAUGAACAGGGUGUUCAUGUAUCUAUCCACACAUUAAUUAUUCAUUGUAAAUUUUAAAAAAUGCACAUUAAAAAAGUGGCCAAACUCAGGAAUACUCACAGAAUUAUAUCCUUACAUCAUGGUUUUUCCAAUGCGGUGCAAUAUAAAAUAGUAAAGAUUACCUAUAAAAUAUUAAUUCACAAAAUGUUUAGUCUGCAUCUAUUCCAGCCUCAAGCCCUAACGUUCACUUACAGGAAAUAAGAAGAUAAAAGAACAAGGCCAACAUCACAAUGAGGAAACAAUCACACAUAUUCAAAAUGUUGGACAUUCUCCAAGAUAACCAGGGUGGAAUAAUCAAUGUCAUUUGAAAAAAUGAGCAGACUAUUUCAUAUCAGAAAAAGACUAUGAAAGAAUAAAGGAAUAUCAUAGCUGUGGUGCUGAGAACAUAACCUACUCCCAUUGGUUUCCAACAACUGAGACCUUGAACAGUGACUUCUUAGCUGUAAAUCCCAGAAUCUUCUGUUUCAAAUCAAUUCUUCAGGAAAAAGAGGACAAAAUAUAAACCCAAGUGGAGAGAGUACUAAAAGACACAAGAUUUUUUUUUAGAGAAUUUAUCAAUCUAAUAUGAGCAAUUAAUUAUUUAUGAUGGUUCCUAUGUUUCACAGAGAAGUUGAAGAAAUAAGAUUAGAACCAUCUUAUGGGCUCUGGGUAAGGCUCUGCAAUCUUUCACCAUUUUUGCUUUAUUUAUUAUACCAAGUAGCAUGACAGAUGUUUGCAAUUUGACUUGAACAUUUUCAUUGUCUUUGCUUUUUUUGUUUCUUUCUUUUUAAAAAUCCAUGGUUUUUUAAUUUCCUUUUCAAUAUUUGCAUCCUUUUAUGGAAUAUAAGAGACCACUUAUAUGCACAAGAGUUAUCUCUUGUGGGUCUCACUAUUAUUAUCAUCAAAAUGCCUGAAAUUACCUGUGAGGGAACAUUAUAAAGUAAAUGAUAAAGAAAUAAUUUAAUGUUACACAUUAGGUAACCUCUAGGAAUAUAUGCUGGAACCAUAGGAAGACAUUGGGCAGGAAGAACAAUAAAAAUAUUUGGAUUGGAAGUAAAAAUGCUAAUCUACUUGUCAGAAAGGUCAUGUCUACAGUCAACAACUGUUCAAAUAGAAGCUUUAAAGCGAGGCUCAGCACACUUUUCUGUAGAGCCAGACAACAAAUAUCUCCGGCUUUGUGGUCCAUAUGGUCGACACUGCAACUACUAGAGUCUGCCAUUGUAGCACGCAAACAGCCAUAGACCAUAUGUGAAUGAAUGGUGUGGCUGUGUUCCAAAAGCCUUAUUUACAAAAACAAGGGAAGUGUUAGACUUCUUCAGAUCUUGGUGUGCUAGUCCUUGCUUUACACAACUAAGAUGAGUGUGAACUAUAUUUCAAAUAGAAGUGAGAGCCCCAAAGGUGGGCAAACCAUUAUAGUAAGAUGGUCAAGUUGCCUAGGCAGGGGCAAUUUAGACAUCUAGACAUCAUAAUUUUGAGUGAGCUAUCAAUUUAUUCAGGCAGGUUUUCUAAGUCUUAGAUUAAAGGGGUAGGUUGGAAUUUAGGGUUAGAUUCUACCUCACUGAGACAAAAUGAUACAAAUAAAAAGUUCAUGACAAGGAUAGAUAAAGACCGUGAACUUACUAGAACAUACUAAGUACAGCUGCUCAUAGCAACAAGGUUUAUUUCAGAUCUUACCUGUUGCUAGCACCAUAUAUUACUCUAACAUGCUUGCUCAAUUUGCUGUCCCAUGGAAAAAAUAAUUGGUUGAGAACUAGUCAGAAGAGUCUUUGUAACUACUUUAAGGACAAAAGUAAUGUUGCUGUUGUGUCCUCAAUAUAUAUAUACAAUAGUGCCUGGAACACAAUAGACAUUUAGUGAUCAUUCCUUGUGUACCUAGAACUUGAUACCUAUUAAAUAUUUUUCUAGUAGAAGUUUGUAAAUUAAUACUACAGGAUUUUUAGCAUUUAUUCUUUUAUAAUAUUAUAUAUAAAAUUUUACUGAUAGACAAUGUCUUCCAGUUCUUUAUACUAUCCUUUGCCACUUUAAUUCAAAAGCAUAUUAAAUUAUAUUUUAUAUUAAAAAUUUAAUUCUAAGAGUAAGAAUUACAGUUAUAAAAAUAUCCCAGGUGAUCAAAGAUAUGGAGCUAUUGCCUAAUGACAGACAUUAUAGUAUAGUGGUGAAUACAGAAAUUUAAUUUUUCAUCUCCUCCUGUCACUCCCUCUUAAGACAUUUUAGGGUCACCCUCCAUGAGGUAGCAGAUUCAUUAGCUUCUACUUUAAAUCCUGCCUCAGAGUAGAAAUCAGUCAGCUCUGUUGAGGGAAUUCCUGAGCAGAAAAAAAUAUCUUUCUAGGACAUUAGAGAGCAAUUGAGUAUUUAAAGAGUCAUUCAAAGAAGAACCUUCAGUAAGCAUUAGAGUAAGCAACUUUACCUAUAUUUUUUAAAAAGGAGAGCUGAGUCAACUCAGGCAAAAGAAAUUGAAUAUGUCAUUUUAAAGAGUCUCAAUAUAACAGAAAUGAAAUGUGUCACUAAUCCACCUUGCCAGCUUAUACAGCUUUUGAGAGUGAAAGACUCUUAGUAAUGACAUUGAUUAUUAUUAAAUGUUAGUAGCUCAGUGUUGUAGAGAAUAUAAACAGCAGUAUUUAUAGACUCUUGGUAAAAUGUAUUUUAACUUUUUAAAGACAUUGCAGAGUUGGCUAUCUUCUCUAACACAACAUAUUGUAGAAUUGUCAUUUAAUAUUUCGUAGAACUAGCUAGAGCAACUAUUCUUUCUUAAGUGGCACAUGUUCAUUUUCUGUAUUUUCCUCAUCUUUACCACCUGCUAGCAGUGUUUCAGGCAACAAAACAGCAGUGUUCUCACCAGACAGUAUAGCCUCCUCCAAAAUGGUAGCAAUCCCAAAGAUUCACAAUAAAACAAAACCUUUAAGACUAUGAUAAAUGGUUUUUAUUUCUUUUUUAAAAACAGUUCUUCCUUUAUUCUUUAAUCUUUAAACACUGAGUUGAAAUGGAUGAUUGAAAAUAUUAUUUGGGGUAUAUUGUUGUACACAUAAGAGAGUAAAUUUUAAGAGCUGAAUUAAAUUUCUCACUCUACCUUUUCUUUCAGUUUAUUUUUAAAUAUAUAUAUUUGUAGAAGCAGUUAUCUGCCAUCCGGAAAUUAAUUCUCAUUUUCUUGGAUUAUUUUAUGGUGACUACUUUCUAAGUAUUUUAUCCUUUAGUGAACAAAUGGUCUUUCUUUCCAGUUAGAAGGUGAUCCUCAAUAAUUAUGUUCUUUUCUUUAACCAAAACCUUGUUUCAAUUAUGACAUUUUGUUGAUAUGUAAAAAUUCUGAAGAAAUAAAAGCAAAAAAUAUUGAAUAAUAAUUUUGUUUAAACAACAUAUUUAGAAUAUUGAAUGACCCUGUUUAAACAAUAUAUUUAGAAUGUCUUAUUGGUAGAAAAUGUCUUCAUG